AGCAGCCGCGGUAAUUCCAGCUCCAAUAGCGUAUAUUAAAGUUGUUGCAGUUAAAAAGCUCGUAGUUGAAUUUCGGGGUUAGUAGGUUGGUCGUGCCACUGGUAUGCACUGGUCUCACUGAUUCCUCCUUCCUGAUGAACCGUAAUGCCAUUAAUUUGGUGUUGCGGGGAAUCUGGACUGUUACUUUGAAAAAUUAGAGUGUUUAAAGCAGGCUAACGCUUGAAUACAUUAGCAUGGAAUAAUGAAAUAGGACGAUCGAUCCUAUUUUGUUGGUUUCUAGGAUUGACGUAAUGAUUAAUAGGGAUAGUUGGGGGCAUUAGUAUUCAAUUGUCAGAGGUGAAAUUCUUGGAUUUAUUGAAGACUAACUACUGCGAAAGCAUUUGCCAAGGAUGUUUUCAUUAAUCAAGACGAAAGUUAGGGGAUCGAAGACGAUCAGAUACCGUCGUAGUC
rnacentral:rRNA from 1 species